AUAAAAUAGUGAUUUUUAGAUGCUUUUAGUCACCUUUCCAAAUUGUGGUAGCGCUUUCAUAAGGCCUUUUGGCUCUUUUCGAUUAUGUUUGUAGUUUACAAUGCAAGUUAAUUAUAAAUAGAUUAAUUUCAUAUUGAUCUGUGUAAACCUAUUGAUUGUUAGGGAUAAACUACGUAUAUAUGUUAUUAUAGUAUCAAGAUGAUCUCCAAAGUAAACCUAUUGAUUGUUAGGGAUAAACUACGUAUAUAUGUUAUUAUAGUAUCAAGAUGAUCUCCAAAGUACAACCUAUUGCUGGAAGCCUACAUUUGAAAUUAUCUUACAUGUUUAAGAAUGUCUAGAUAUUCUUGUAUAUCAUAAUUAAUUAAUUAUGUGAGUCUCAUUUUAAUGAUUGGUGAAUUUUGUACAUAUUUCCUUUUUUCCCAUAGUGAAAAUCUUAGCUCAGUUGCUCCUCGUUGAGGGUAUGUUGAGUUUCAAUCGAAUUGAACGCAACUAAAGAAAAAGAAAAAUAAAAUUUUUCUCUAAUAUGGAUUACAUUUAAACGAGAAAAAUAAUAAUAAUUAAAGAGAAAAUAAAUACUUUUUUAUUUUUCUUGCAGCAAAAUACGAUAUUAAUCAUUUUGAUUGGAUUAUCGCAAACUUCAAACCGUCCAAGUGUCCGGUCUCUAACGAUAUCCACACAGAAUAGUAAUUGAAAAACUUUAUAACAGUUCUAAGGGAUUGAGAAUGGGAG
rnacentral:lncRNA from 1 species